rnacentral:lncRNA from 1 species
CUCCCCACUUCCAUCAACAUUGUAAAAUGAUGCUGUUUUGUUGUUAUCAUUUUUUUUUAUAAUAAUAGCCAUUAAUAGUCAUUGCACCUUUUUUUCAAUACUAGAUAAACCUAGUUUAGCAAGAGCAAAAAUAGGUAAGUACCAGCUACUAUUUCCAUCUCAACAAAAAAUAAUGAUCAUUAUGGACUGGAUUGUUAUUG